rnacentral:rRNA from 1 species
AUUGAACGCUGGCGGCAUGCUUUACACAUGCAAGUCGAACGGUAACAGGCCUUCGGGUGCUGACGAGUGGCGAACGGGUGAGUAAUGCAUCGGAACGUGCCCAAUCGUGGGGGAUAACGUAGCGAAAGUUACGCUAAUACCGCAUAAGCCCUGAGGGGGAAAGCAGGGGAUCGCAAGACCUUGCGCGAAUGGAGCGGCCGAUGUCAGAUUAGCUAGUUGGUGGGGUAAAGGCCUACCAAGGCGACGAUCUGUAGCGGGUCUGAGAGGAUGAUCCGCCACACUGGGACUGAGACACGGCCCAGACUCCUACGGGAGGCAGCAGUGGGGAAUUUUGGGACAAUGGGCGCAAGCCUGAUCCAGCCAUGCCGCGUGCGGGACGAAGGCCUC